AAUGAACGCUGGCGGCAGGCCUAAUACAUGCAAGUCGAGCGGACGAAGGGAGAUUGUUCUUGUCUGCAGUUGCCGACGGGCGAGUGAGGACCAGGUAUCUGCCCUGCCUAUGGGAAUAAGGUACGUUAACGGGCCCUAAUAUAGUACAUGUUCAGAUGUUGAACGGCGUGGUUCAUAGGUGCUAACGCUACUUGAUGACCCUUAGUCGGAUUAGCUAGUUGGUGAGGUAAAGGCGUACCAAGGCGACGUUCCGUAACAGCUCUGAGAGGGUGAUCAGCCACACUGGAACUGAGACACGGUCCAGACUCCUACGGGAGGCAGCAGUAGGGAAUAUUGGGCAAUGGGCGAAAGCCUGACCGAGCAACGCCGCGUGAGUGAUGAAGGUCUUCGGAUUGUAAAGCUCUUUUAGUAGGGAAGAACAUAAGUGAAAUAAUACCUUGCUAUUUUGACGUUACCUACAGAGAAAGCCCCGGCUAACUUCGUG
rnacentral:rRNA from 1 species